rfam:Triticum urartu cultivar G1812 contig1238714, whole genome shotgun sequence.
AAAGUACUCCCUCUGUCCCAAAAUUCUUGUCUUAGAUUUGCCUAGAUACGGAUAUAUCAAGUCAAAUUUUAGUAUUAGAUACAUCCGUAUCUAGACAAAUCUAAGAAAAGAAAUUUGAGACAGAGGGAGUAGUUG